AUCCAGCAUAGACCCAGCAGCAAACACUAACUAACCUGUCCCUCCCUCAAGAAAUACAGCCAGCAUCAAACGAGGGACCGACGCAGGUGGACAGCAAUUUGUCAUAAAACUUACAAUUGUAGCAGUAAGUAUAAAUAAAGAAAUCUUAAAUGACUAUCUAUCCAUUUUCCUAUAGAUGAAAUUAGUUAUAGGCAUUGCACGUUGAAAAGGAGUGUGUAUACCCAAAACAUCUGUGUUUUAGUCCUUCAUUACAUUUAGCACUAAGAAUUCUGAUUGUGCUUGUCCAAUUUGCUUUAUAGUUGAGAUUUCUAUAUCUACCAUUAAAUGAGCCAUGGUGGUUUGAUGAAUUAGCCGCACACACGUUAACCUGCUUUGUUCAUUUUGUAAACUGGCUAUUUCUAGAUAUAUAUAUUUUUUUAUACUGCGGUAUAUUUUUCCUCUUUUUUUUUUUUUGGGACAUAUUUUGUUGAAAAUAAUUAUGGCAUUAAAACAGGAGCCGUAAGUGUAAUAUACAGUUGCACUCUAAACCGUUUUGGUUUGCCAGAUAGUCAGUGUACUUUGUACCAUGGAUGUAAGUCGGUUUUUCAGGUUAGACGUUAAUUUAAGACAGCUAAUAUAAAAUAUGUAUAUAAAAAAUCAUGCCUUCUCAUUAGUUAAAUCUACACAACCUUGACGCAUGCAUUUUCAUAGAUGUCGCUAAAUCAAAUUGUGGUUUGACAGCUAUUUCUUUAACUAUAUACCUUAAACAACUAACCAGUUUUAUGUCUGAGAAUCCUUAUGUUUUUAUACAUUUAGAAAGUUCAGUGACUAAAAAAAACAUCUUCGGAAAUGCGACACUUUUAACAUUUUAUAUACUAACACUACUAUUUGAAUAGGAUAUAUAUAGCCUUUCAUUUCCGCUAUAUCUGAAUGUACCUUUCCUGGUUAAAUACUUUGUUAUUAUUAUUAUUAUUAUUAUAUGUGUGACAUUUUUUUAUUUUUCAGUGGGAAUUUAGGUAUCAUUUUGGUUUGUCAUGACAGAUUUAUAAAAUGUCACUCACUUUUGUGACAUAGACAGAUACAGUCAAAUUUAGCAACAAAGGACGUUUUGAUUUUCCACAGUGUUUCUGUUUCAUCAAAGCCCAGUGCAAUUCAGGUGGGCUGUUUGCUUAUAUUGUAUCAUAUUGGGCUCACUCUGUUAUAGGUUAUUUAAUGAGAGUUCCAUAUGUUCUCGAUAACCCGAGAGAGAAUUUUGUGGCAUGUGGGGCCCUGCUUGCAUGUUUGCCUCUGUCUGUCUUUGAUAAAAAUUUAUAAAUAUAAAAAUCAGUUUUUUUGUAACAAAAGGAGAGACUUAAAGCGGAUACAUAUCUCCACAUGACUUUUUAAAAGAUAAAGCUAAAAUAUUGGUAACAUUGUAUAAAAAGAGGCCUAUGAUUUGGGGAUUAAUAGCAUGCAAACCUAGGCUUGCCAUACGCUUUAAUGUAGGUGUCCAGAUCCGGCUGAAACUGGUUUGAGGCAGAUCAGCUCAUGUAACAAUGCAGCCACAGAGCUACAGUGGGAUAAAUCCUUCAUGGCAGACAGAGGAGGUAGCAGGAAGGUAUCAUCAUUUUAUUUCAGUAUGAAUUGCACUAUAGACACACAGCACUGGUAUGUAAAACCAGCAGAAAAAUAAAAACAAAACAUGCAUAUGUGUGCAUAUUUUGCAUUCAUGGGAAUGGGCUUGGUGGGUAUGUUAACAUGUCAGCUGUUUAUGAGCUGAGAUUUCAAAUAUACUGCCAUUGCAUUUGUCAUACAAGGGGUUAAUUAAGCAGAACAUUCUAAAAUCUAGAACAAAAAAAUGAGGGGGCAUCAGUAUUGGGGGCGGGGGGGGACUAUUGCAUGGUCUGUUGUUCUGUGCAUGCAUUGUACCUUCUAUGUGCGGUUUCCUUCGGUUAUAAUAAUAAAUAAGAAUAAUAAAACAUUGUGCUAAAAAGACUUGUAUCACCAGGCCACUCAAUUUAAAUCCACAGUGACAUGUCUGGGUGUGAUUUAACCCCUUCCACAGGAUAAGAUAAUGAAAGGUCAAAGUUCAAAGUAUUGUAGCAUUGAGUAGAAUUAUUUUUAACCACUAGACAGCAGCAAUCCUAUAUAAAAUAUAUAUUCUAUAUAUAUUUAAAUUCUAUUUAUCUACGCAUACAGACACGUAUAUCUGCCACCAUAACUAUUUUCAUUGGCUGUUGCGUGCCAGAUCUGCAUUCUAUAUUUGUUUGCAUGAACGAAAAGAAAAAAAAUAAUAAUCAAGAACUGAAAUAUAGUUGCUUGGAAAAUGCAAUCACUGUACACAAUGUCUCUUUUACUAAUGCUUUUCUGUACACAGUAAACAUCUUUCUGUGUACAGGAGAGUAAGUGUUUCAACUGUGACAGGUUACAGGUUUAAAAAAAAUAAUAAUAACAUAAUAAAAUAUACAGUGAUUUUUAAAUAUAGCCAGCAGUUUCUAAGGACAAAAAUGUGUUAUGAUGUAUAUCCCUACCCCUGUCUGUGAUAAACAGUAUUAUUUAAUGUUUUUAUAAUCGUAACAUUAUAUAUAUAUAUAUAUAUAUAUAUAUAUAUAUAUAUAUAUAUAUAUAUAUAUAUAUAUAUGUGCUGUAGCACAAAUUGUUUUUCUAUUUACAAUUUUCACAGUUAUGGAAAUUAGACAAAAUCUGUUUCUUACAAAAAAAAAAAAUCUAUGCUUUCAUUUGUAGCUGGCGUAUGCAUCUUGUUUUGUGAACUGGAGAGGCCUGGGAGAGAAGGGGAAUGAGCGUGGCAGAAGAGGGACACAGGAGGAAGGCAGCUGUAAUGAAAGGAUGAACAAAGACUGCUAGAGGAGAGAGAAUGGACUUCUAAACAAUCCGCCUUAUGAAAGCCAGGGAGACAUCUGUAACUUCCUAAAAACAGGAAAUCCAUAGCUCUGCAAUCCUGACCAGUUUGAUGCUUUACUGUACUGACGGGUCUUAGCCCUAAAGCUGGCUUUGUGUUAACUGCAAUGAAGGAAAAAAAAAUGGAGACUUUUAGUGAAAGUGUAUUCAGAUUUUCAUUAUGAAAGAUUGUCUAUGGUACUGUACAACGCAGCACAAUGCAGCCCAUAAAGCCCUGGAAAUUUUGAAUUGGGUAAGUUGUUUAAUCAGAGGAGAAGAAUUAUUAUUAUUAAUAUUUUUUUUUAUUUUUUUCACAAAAAGCAAGACAAUGCUUAGUUGAUUUAAUGUUUUCUUCUCUUAAAAUGACUACGUCUGGGAUUCAGCUUUUCAUACAUUUCCUUUGCAUUGUCAUUAGCAGGCUAGUAAACGUUCCAUAGAUUCCUCUGCUUUUCAAAGGCAAAUUCACAAUUUGCAUUGGCUUUUGAACCACUUAAUAAAGACAGCUAGAAGGUGAGCUGAAACAUGAGAUGUAUAACUGUGCUAUGCUUAUUUUUUAGUUUAAUGCAGUCUUCUUUGGGGGAAGGAGGGGGGGAUCUGGCAAUGUGACAUGGAAAUUGCAUGGGCAGUUUAAAUAGUUGUUUUUUUUGUUUUUUUUACAGUGACUAUUAAGAAUGUUGACAAGCAUAUUAAUCUGUUAUGAGUAUGCUGUUUUAUAUAGAUGUCCGCCUACACUCAGUAGUUUAAACCCUAAAAUUCAGGCCUUAAAAUGUAAAAUGUUGCAUUGCUAGAGGCUUAGUGCAAUACGUUAAUAUAAAUACGCUUGUGUCUGCUUUUCUCUCUAUUUUGUUCUUUUCUUCUUUCAUCCAUGCAUUGUGUUGUAGAGCUCUCUAUAAUUAAAGAAUAUUGACAGUGCGUGUGUUAAAGGCUCUCUAUGAGCGUUGCCACUUUAAUUGGGGAUCUGAGAGGUCUUUGUGCAUUUAGAUGGCUGAGUGACACUGGAUUCACGUAUAAACGUAUCAGUUUUGAGGGCCUUUUUUACUGCUACUGUUGCAGAGGCAGGCCUAGCCUGCAUUUUUUUUUCUUCCUGCUGAAUGUGAUUGCCUGCAGCUGUAUUACCCUGUUUCCGAGCAGGAAUCAACAUCAGCCUACAUAAAAAAAAAAAAAAAAAAAUGUGUUUAGUUUGGCUGGAAGACGUUUCUAGAAACGGAUAAUUAAAAAAUCAAACCAACAAAAAAAAAUGUCUUGGCCUAAAAAUAUCUAAUUAUCUGCACCUUCUUUUAUUUUAUGGAAAAGUCUAGAGUGUUAAAUGGAAGAGUCAUCGAGUCAGCCUGAAGUCAUCUGUUCAUUUUGAUAGUCUGGUGAGUAGGCCUGAAUCUUAAAACUGCCUUGGAUAAAAUCAGGCCCCAUUCUGUUAUUAUGUCUUUGUUCAGUCUCAGAUGGGUCUCUGCUUAAUACAAAAAAAAGGCAAUAACCAAAUUCUAUUUGGAAAAUGACCGUGUAAAGAGGCAGGGAUAUCGUAAAAGAUAAUAAGAUUAAUAUCAGUUUGCACUAUUAUUAUUUUUUUGUUAUUUUGAAUAUUUUUCAUAAUGCUAAGCUUUCCAAAAUCAUCUAAUAAGACUAUAGGCAUGAGUCACAAUUUUACGAUUUGUAAGUAGUGUUGUUUAUUUUGAAUUUUUGUGCAUGUGUGUGUAUAAUAUAUACAUGAUAUAUAUAUCUAGACAAACACAAAGUACAUUUCAAAUUAUUAGUUGCUUAUGUCAUUUUGUCAUUGUGUAUUGUUUAUCUACAUAGUUUCUCUAUUCGUACACCGAUGCAUGUUGAAUAUGUGGAAUAUUGCAGUGUCACUUAAUGCAUUGUUUUAUUGAACAGUCAUUUUGUAACAAGCUUCUGAAGGUACUUUCCUUUUCAAGUGUAAAAUAUUCCCAAAGGAGUAGUUUCCAAAUUGAAUGGUCCCAGUUUAAAAGGCGUUACAAGAUACUGCAAUACUGCCAUAAUUCUCUGUCUGCACACAUACAUAUAUAUAUAUAUAUAUAUGUGUGUGUGUGUGAAUUGGGUUUCAUGUGCUAAUUUUUGUUCGUUAAUGGUUUCUAUGCAUGGAAUACAAUGGUGGCUGGUGAAGUUUAAAGGUGGGGGGGAAGGCGCUGCUCCCCUGACUUGUUGGGAUCUACCGCUUAACUCCAUGAGAUGCAAUGCCAUGUUCAACACCAGCUCCAGUCAUCCAGCUGAUAUAAUCGUGACAGACACAUGUUUUUCCAACACACACCUAUCAAUAGUCCUGACAAUGCCAGUAGAUUUGUCAUUUUUUGGGGGAGAGAAAAAGCUGGGGGUAUGUGAAAGAGCCAACCCCCCUUCCUAAACAGACAAGCACAUAAUUUAAUUUUGUUAGUGUGCCAACCAUAGUAUGUGUAGAUCUGGGUCAAACCAUCAAGUUGCGUAAGUCUUUCAUCCUUCUGAUUUCGGUAAAUGAGUAUCAUUGAACUGUAAUUGCACUUUAUAUACAAGCUUUCCCAGCCCACGGCCUAUCAUUGUUGUGCAAAUGUGUACAGAUAAUGAGCUCAUUCAUAAAAACAGUGAAGUGAAGGCACCAAGAGAUUCAUUACACCAUAACCACGACAAUAGACUGUAGUGUCAAUGCAUACCUCCCAACAUGUAUUUAAAUUAAAUUAAGCAGUAUGGACGUUUUAAUUCUAGCGGUGUGGCCAGGGGCGUGGCUUUUUUGAAAAAUUGUAGAUGUCUUAAUAAUAACAAUGUAUACAACUAAAGUGUAAUUUAGAACACGAUCUGUGUAUCUUAUUUACAAAGAUUGAGUUCUAAACACAUUUAUUGUAGUGCAAAGAAACAUCACUGUGAGUAUUAUUGCUGUGGAGUUCUGUUAUACACUCACACAUCAACAACAAUAUGGAGCUUACAGAAAAGAUGGCCAUUAGGAUUAAAAAGAGGGACAGAGGGAUUUGGGUCCAAAACAGGGAGUCAAAUUGGUUAUUACUAACCUUUUAAAAAUAAAUUCUAUCAAACUACAUGAUUUUAUGUCCCUUUUUUUUUUAUUAUUUUGAGUGAAAGUAAAUAUUUCAGCUUGGAAAGGCAAAUGGGUUGUGUAAUAUGGAUGUGUGUGGGCGGUUUCACAUAAUUACCUUUUCGCUGCUGCAGUGUCACUUUUUCCACCGAAAUUUGCAAAUCUUGAGCCUAGUUGACUGGUGUCAAUGGAAGAAACCAAAACACUGCUCAUGGUCAAUGCCUGGCAAGCCCCUCAUAUUUUUUUCUCCUCGAAAUGAUCAUCGCCUUAAGCUGCUAGGUUCUUGGUUCUUCCUUAUAGUGCAUGGCCUGAUGACUGGAGGCAUUGGCAUAUAAUGUCACAUAUCAUAUUGUCCUAAUGUGUUUUAUACCCCACCUCCUGUAGACUGUAAGCUUGUUUGAGCAGGUCCUCUUCAACCUAUCAUUCCUGUAAGUUUUCUUGUAAUUGUCCAAUAUAUAGUUUAAUCCCCCCUUUCAUAAUAUUGUAAAGCGGAAUCAGUUGGCGCUAUAUAAAUGGCAAUGAUAAAUAAUAAAUACAUAAAUAAACAUCCACUCAGCCACGAGGCCUGCAGAGUGUACAGGGCUGCCCUGUUUUAAAGGCAGAAAAGAAGUGCAAGAGCACACUGUACUUAACUUUUUGCCAUUUUUUUCUUAGCUAGAAGAGGAUUAACUGCUCAGCUAAAGGAAAAAUAUCCUUGUUUAUUAUUAUUACUAAACAUAAAGAAUUGUAUGUGAUAUAGCAUUGUGUAUUAGUUUGUAAUUGGCUUAAACUUGUUGAGUGGGCUGGGCUGGCUAUUAUAAGGUGUGAAAGCGCGGCUUCUACAUGAUGUCACUGUUCGCUCUGCCCUGCUAAGACUUAAAGAUGGCUUCCCCACAGAGUAAAGCUGGAAAAUGCACUGAAAAAAAUAAGUCUUUAGAAAAAUGCAUGCAUUACAAAAUAAUGGCACAGGUUGAGCUAAAACCAGCUUGAGAUCUGAGCGGGGACCCACUGAAGGGCAGGCUAUUUGAGCUGUUGUCCGUUCUCACCUUUCUUGCUACUUUUUUUUCUAUCCAAAUUUUAACUCAAAGGCAGAAUGGAUAUUUAUAUUUUGACUCCAUUGGUAGAUCAGUGAUUACUGAAUACCAGUUUUAUGCUACCAUGUGAAAUUCUGAAAAGUCGUGAAUAUUGUAAAUGAUUUGUUUAUUUUUUUGUACUGCAGCGACAGAAAUACAGUCAAGUAUAGACAUGUCAUCAUGAGACAUAAGAGUAUCAGUGAAAAUGUGAGCCACGUGUCGAGAUACCUGCACAUGUUUUUAGAUUUUAUAAUGCUGAACAGUAAGAAAAACAACUCUGUUUAUGAAAAAAGGAGGAUCAUAGAUUGUCAAAAUGUAGAUAUGAGGUCCAGUGAAUACAUGAUAAGCUGGCUGUUUCAUGAGAGGAGGAGACACUCAUAUCGGAAAUAAUAGACCCCAAAUUAGAUAUCUGUAGCUUUCACAUGCAUGCAAAAAUAGAACUUAAGAGCAACUACCACUGGAUAUAAAAAACAAACAAAAAAAACAAAAACAAAUCAGCUAAGCAGUUUAACAAAGAAACAUAGAAUGUGAUGGCAGAUAAGAACCAUUCGGCCCAUCUAGUCUGACCAAUAUUUUCAUUAGUCCCAGCUGAGAGGUGGGAAUGAACAACAGCUCAAUUAGCCUGCCCUUCGGUGGGUCCCCACUCAGAUCUCAAGCUGGUUUUAACCAUUACAGAGAUACCUCCCUGAUGAUACCUUACAAGGUUGAAAUGAUAGUCUGGGGUUGCCGUAUCUCUCGUGCAGAGGGAACUUGCUGGCAUUUUGGAUCUGGACUGCCCGUAAGAGUGGGAUAUGUUCUUCAGAUAUGUUCUCUCUGUAAUGGCACUAGAUGAGCUAAAACCAUCUUGAGAUCUGAGCGGCGACUUACCGAAGGGCAGGCUAAUUGAGCUGUUGUCCAUUCUCACCUCUCUUGCUACUUGUUUUUCUCUCCUAAAGUUUAAAGGCUAAUCCAGACAUGGACCUUUUGCUCACGGUGCCUUGAGGCAUAUUGGCUAUACCUCACUGAUGAUACCUUACAAGGUUGAAACGAUCGUCUGGGGUUGACGUAUCUCUUGUGCAGAUGGAAAUUGCUGGCAUUUCGGAACUGGACUACCCGUAAGUGUAGGACCAGUCUGAUAUGCUUCAGAUAUAUUCUCUCUGUAAUGGCACAGGUUGAGCUAAAACCAGCUUGAGAUCUGAGCGGGGACCCACCGAAAGGCAGGCUAUUUGAGCUGUUGUCCGUUCUCACCUUUCUUGCUACUUUUUUUCUAUCCACAUAAUGGGUUCUCCUGAAACAUGUUUUUGUUUGUUUUUGCACUAACUGGUAAUGCAGAAAUAAAGUAAGCUAUUAUAGUAAAAGUUGAAACAAUGGGUAGGAGGAAUGUGCUUUUUAUAUCUGUCUCCCAGAAGUGAAUAAAGAUGAUACAAUGAUGAGUCAAAACAAGUCACUUCCUGCCAUCUUACAGUCAGUAUUUACUACUGAAUAUUCUCCUUUAUAAGGAUCAUGUUUUCAAUAUAGCUUAAAGGGACAUGUUUUGUUUGUGUAUUAACAGAAGUACAUGUUUUUAAGUAUAAUGAGCCCUUACCUACACAGCUCUCGCAUAUGUACCCUAUGAUGCUCGGCACAAUCAGGCAUCUACUCGGAAAGUACAGUUUAAGUGCCCAGGCAUGUGCUUAUUCAUGCCAACUGUGUGCACGAAUUGUGGGUUAAAGGUAAAGGUGUAAAUUGUGACAUUAAACAAAAUAACAUUUGUUUUGUUUUUUCUUUUCUUUAUGUAUGUUCUUUAUAGUGUAGAAAGAAGGUAAAUCAGCCUGGGGGUUUCCGCUCAGCCCCCUGAUGCUCUGCAUAGGGUAUAACUGUUGGCAUUGGAAAGAACCAGUUAUAAUCAUGAUGCAUGAAAUUGCAUGAGCUUAUUGUUGCUAGAGGGAGUUGUUUCUAAAGAAACCCUCUGUCUUAACAACUUUAUUAUCCUUAAAUACGAUGGGAAAGAUUAUAGGGCACGUCUAGAUUAAAAAAGAAAAAUUAUAUUUUUAUUGCACUUGAACAAGUCAAGUUAAGAUAAAAAAAAUAUACAGUUAUUAGUUUUUUUAGUUUUUUUUUUAAAUGCUCUGUGUUGCUUGCAUUGGCUCCUCUGCAUGGUUCCUUCAGCUCGCAACAUGGGGACCUAGGUCAAGUUAGAUGGUUGGUGUCGAUGUGUGUUGAAAUUUCAAGGUUACUAUGGCACAUUUGUUUAACGUCGUGGUCUGUAGAUGGUGUGGUUCCGGGGUGGGACCGACCCUCUUCUCGUGUAUCAGGAUACUUAAGUUGGGGUACUGCGACCUCACCGUAUGAUCAGAGGCAUGUGGAAUAUCCCUUACCCUUAGUGUCGUCCCAGGGAUAUCCAACCCGUCCUUAACCGAACCACACGGCCGCCAUGUCCCGGAAAUAUAGGCAAAGCUCCUCCCUACUGGUGGGCGGACUUCGAGGUGUUACAGGAAUAUGUUACUCCAAAGGGUAGGGUAAGAUGAGUGGAGAGUUUGUAGUGGAGGUGUGAAUAAAAAUAUGAAUGAAAAAGGAGUCAGAGUGCACCCAGGUCCUCUCCUAACCCCCCCAGGCCUCCGCUUGUGACUAGUCAUCCGCAUCUGUCUGCAUGGUAAAUACAUACCAGGGUCUCCAUUGCUCCAUGUGUUUGUCUUUUCUCCCUUGCACGUCUACUGUUUUGGCUUCAACCGCGUGUGUCUUCCACCUUCUGUAGCCAUUGGCUGAUGGUUGGAGGUAGUGUUUGCUUCAAGUGUGCUGGUAUCAAUGAUUUGGCUGCGUUGAAUAAAUGUCUCAGAAUCGUUUUUUUUGUAUUUAGCGUGUAAUGUAGAAAGACAUUCUCAAUGGUGAAGCUUGAUAGAUCCCCUAGGAUCUUCUGUACCACCCAUUUGAUCUUGUCCCAAUAAGGCUUUAUCUUUUCGCAGUCCCACCAUAUGUGGCGUAGAAAUCCAGUCGCUGAGUCACAUCUCCAGCUGGUGUCUAGUAUAGUCGGGAAGAUUCGAUGUAGUAAGGAGGGUGUGCGGUACCAGUGGGAGAUCAAUUUGUAGUUUACCUCCUGGUAGUGGGUGCUCGUUGAGCUUUUAUGUUGUGGAAUGAGUAUUUUCUCCCAUUGGUCGUUAGAAAAGGUCCUGGCCAUCAGGUCUCCCCAUUGUCUCUUGAAAAUAUCCCUUUUCACCAUAGUGGAACCAGAGCAUCAAGUGUGGGCACUUUUUCUGUGGGAAGGUCUCGAAGGUCUCUCACACCCAAUCCACUGAAGACCCUAAACUCCUCCUGAUUGGUCAUGGAGUCCAUCUCCUAGGUCUGGAUUGUGGGUAAUAUGUAUCAGGGGACUCUGUUUUGGGGAUAUGUAGGUCUCCUUCCUUAGAGUGGUCCAUGUCUUUAGCGUUUGUGUUAUAGGGGAGUCCUCCCCUAAAGUGUGUGGCAUCUGAUUCCCUAUGCCAGACCAAUGCAAGUAAGGAAUUAGCGGUGGCAGCUCUGCUCAGCAUUACCCAAAGCUUUUGGGGCGAGGUAAUAUGCAAUUCUCGGAGCCUCUGUAAUACCGUUGCAUGAUAGUAUUUGCGAAAGUUAGGUAGUGCCAGCCCGCCCCGUUCUCUCAGAAGACUGAGUUUAGCGUGGGAUAUUCUAGCUCUAUCGCCCUUCCAAAUAAAUAGGAUAGCUGAUCUCAGUGUUGUGAAAAAGGUUUGCGGUAUUGUACAGAGUAUGGUGUGGAACAAGUAUAAAAUCCUUGGUAGGACAUUCAUUUUCACUACCACUAUACGACCCUGCCAGGAGAUGUGAUUAUAAUUCCAUUUCCUGAGAUCCUCCAGGAUCAUGUUUAAAAGAGGGGUGUAGUCGUGGUUGUAGAUGUCCUUUGUUGCGCGUGGGAUCCACAGCCCCAUGUGACCCAUUUAGCGAGAUUUAAUUUGAGGCCGGACAGGCGUUGAUUGUUUUGAAAUUCUUCCAUUAGUGAUAGCAAAGUUGCUAGCGUAGCCUCAAUGAAAAACAACAUGUCGGCCGCAUAUGCGGCUACCUUAUGUUCCUGAGUUUUAUUUUGAAAUCCCAUAAUGGAUGGUUUGUUCCUGAUUCGGUCGAGAAAUGUCUCCAAGGUGAGGGCAAAGAACAGGGGUGAUAGUGGACAUCCCUGUCUGGUGCCGUUUCAAAUGUUGACAUUGUCUGUGAGUGCCCCAUUUACCCGAACGCAAGCACUCAGAUUCUGAUAGAGUGAAUUAAUCCAGGUAAGCAUCCCCUGGCUGAGUCCGGUCUUCCAUAACGUUGCCAACAUGAAGUGCCAGUCUUACAUGGUCAAAUGCCUUCUCGGCGUCAAUGGAGAGAAGGAGUAAUUUCUUGCCUUCCCACUUCGCUAGGUGUUGAAUCGAGAACAUUGGCAGAGUGCAAACUCUCACCUCCCUGCCCGGGAUAAAGCUUGUCUGGUCCGGAUGUAUGAGUCGAGGCAUGAAGGUUUGUAUCCUCAUUGCUUGAAUGAGGAUACAAUACCGUGUUGCACUAGUUGCCACAAUUUUAGCUGCGGCCAGGGACUCCACGUGGAACGAGGCUCCAUCUCGUAGUUGAUUCCGUGCCUUUGUGAGCUUCGGUAUCCGUAUCUUGCCAAAUUCUUAAGAUACCCAUUGGGCAGGCCGUCAGGUCUAGGUGCUUUAUCAUUCUUCACGGAUUUCCUCCUCAGAAAUGGGAGCCUCCAGUUCAUUGGCUUCUGCCGGAGUAAGGGCUUCUGGUGUGAAUUCUCGAAGGUACCUGUCUGUGUCCUCGUGUCAAAGUGGAGGGAGGUCUAGAUGCAGUGUUCUGGGUGUCAUACAGCUUUUCGUAAAACCUCCGGAAUUUGCCUGCUAUGUCUUCUGUAAACUGUGUUAGUUUGCCUUGAGUUGUUUACAAGGUGUGGCAUCCACGCUAGCAGUUUUCCACUCUUGUUGGCGUUUAUAUAGAAGAAGGCUUUGGAUCUCUGCAGGUUUCGGAAGUGUUUACGUUUUAUGAGAUCUGUUAGUUGUCGUCGUGUAGACCGCAAUUCUCGAUACGCCUGCUCCUUUUGGGUUCUCUUAUGAAGUGUUUCCAGGCAUGACAUUUUUCAUGUAAGGUCUUCUAUUAGUUGUCUGGUCUCUUUUUUUUUUUUUUUCUUUUGAGUGGCCAUCCUGAUGAAGUGUCCCCUAAGGAGACUUUUGUGCGCUUUCCACAGUGUCAUAUCUGACAUCCCCUCAAUGGUGUUUUUUUUCAAAAUAUUGUUUUAAAUGGUUCAUUACUUGUUCCUGUAUCUGAAUGUCCGUCAGGAGUGAUUCGUUUAACCUCAAUGCUGUUCGAGAUUGGCGGUGGAGGGGUGAGUCCAUAGAUAAUGUAGUAGAACUGUGGUUGGACCAGGGUGUGGAUAGUAUAUCACCCUUCUGGAGGUGUGUGAGUCCUUAAAUGAAGAUGUAGUCGAUACGUGAGUAUCUGUGGUGUAAGGUCGAAUAAUACGUAUAGUCGCGACCAUCUGGGUGCAGGGCUCUCCAGGCAACAACUAGUAUUAGCUCCCUGAAAGAAUUGUGGAUGAUUCGGAGCGUUGAAUGCGGGACACUACUGGUCAGUCAAAGGGUCCAGAGGGACAUUUAGAUCCCCACCAAGGAUCAGGCUACCUUCUGUGGAUUUGGCGAGUUUUGCCACUGUUCUGCAUAUAAAGCUGGCUUGCCCAGAGUUUGGGGCGGAAAUCGAAGCAAACGUAUAUAGUUUCUGUGCCACAUUUCCCUUUACGAAUAGAUACCUGCCGUCCCGGUCCUCAAGAGUCUCAGUGAGAAUGAACUGUAAGUUUGCUGCGAGGAGAAUUGCUAUCCCAGCCUUGCCAGCUGUUUGGUGGUUGCUAUACUAAUUCGCUGGGUAGUUCUUAUCUUUCAGCAGUGGGUUCGCGUCUGCUUGUAGGUGUGUUUCUUGUUGGAGGGCUAUGGAGAUAUGUUGUCGUUUGAGGUCUCAUAGUAGAUGCGUAGUAUGGAAAGUUCACUAAUAAUCUGCAACAAAGCAUAGGAUACAAAACAUAGUGUAGUAUAUUAAAACAAUAUUAAUAAAAUGUAAGCCAACUGGUCAGACUCACAUGUUGCUUAGCCUAUUAGUAGCAGGCUCAGACUUUUAGCGCCUUUCAGCAAGAUUAACCUCCAAAUUACUGUUCCCAGAUUCUGCUUCACCUCAAAGAUCCUGGUCCAGACUUGUAAAGGUGUAAACAAUUUAUUGGGAAUUUAACAAAGGUUAAAAAAUAAAAAAAAGCAUUUUGAUUUCAAUAAAACAGCACACAGGUAUAGCACAACGCGUUUCGGUUGUUAGUUCAGUCUUUAUCAAGUGCAUAAAAUAUGUUUGUUCCGGUUUUACUUACCGUAUUUAUCGGCGUAUAACACGCACCUCAUUUUAAGAAAGAAAUUUCAGAAAAAAAACCUUAAAUUUCAAAUAAAGAACUUCUUACCCCCUUCUUACUCCCCCCUCCCUCUCUUCUUACCCCCUUCUUACUCCCCCCACCCCCUCUUCUUACCCCCCUUUCUUACUCCCCCUCCCCUCUUCUUACCCCUUUCUUACUCCCCCCUCUUACCCCUUCUUACUCCCCCUCCCCUCUUCUUGCCCCCUUUCUUACUCCCCCCCUCUCUUACUUCCCCUCCCCCUUCUUGCUCCCCUCCCCUCUUCUUACCCCCUUCUUACUCCCCCCUCCCCCUCUUCUUGCUUCCCCUCUUACUCCCCCCUCCCCCUCUUCUUACCUCCCUCCCCCCUCUUCUUGCCCCCUUUCUUACUCCCCCCUCCCUCUUCUUACCCCUCCUCUAUUUACCCCUUCUUGCCCCCCUCCCCUCUUCUUACCACCUCCUGUAGGUGGCCGAGCUGCUCUGCUGUCGCGGUGCCCGGCCGGAGUGAUAGGAAGGUGCGCUCAGUGUGCAACUUCCUGUCAGUCCGACGGGUACAGGAAACAGAAACUCCUGUUCGCGUGGAACAGGAGUUUGUUUCCUGUACCCGGUCGGGACGGAAGGUGCACACUGAGCGUGCACCUUCCUAUCACUGGCCGGGCACCGCGGACAGCAGAGCAGCUCGGCCAUGCUACAGGGGAGGGGAGGUGAGAACCAACUGCAGCCGCCUGACCGCUCUUGACAGAGCGCUCAGGCGGCUGCAGCAUUUAAAGGGCCGGCGUAUAACACGCACCCAUAAUUUUCCCCCUAUUUUCAGGGAGAAAAAGUGCGUGUUAUACGCCGAUAAAUACGGUAUAUAUCCCUUUUCGUGACGUUUUCUUCUUUCCAUCACAAAUGUUUUUUUUUCUUUCAACUUCCGGGUUCAAAAGGUCAUCUUACGCAAUUUCCGGUGUCUGUAUUACGACACUCGACGGAAUGCCUCAGCAUCUGAUGUCAUCACGCGAUGACAUACUGAGUCAUAUUUAAUAUUUGAGUUUUGUCCUUAAUGUCCUUAAUUAAUGUGCAUUUAGUACAGAAGUCCAUAUAAGCUAAUAUGGAAUGUUAAAAGCAUAAUGAUUAGAUCCAGUAUAAGAGUUACAUACAUAGAAAUUAGGUUUUGAACAGUUUUAGAUUAAGAAUGUAAAAGAAAUGUUUGGAAUUAAUAGGGGAUCAAUUAUGUUGGAAAAUUCCUAUAAAUUAAAUAAAAUGAACAUUAUAUAAAAACACUAUAUAAUGCGGGCACGCAGUGCAUUCUGCCUGCGUGGCCAGAGGAGAGGACCGGCAUGGGCGACGGGUAAAGGUACAUUUGUGAUAAAAGGUUUAUGUGUCAAUUUUGUGAUUUUUUUUUUUUUUUCUUCAAUAUUUACCUGCUAUUGUUUAUGCUCUCCACACUAAAUCCCAGGGGGGACACUGAUCUAAACAAUCAGUGUCCUCCUAUAUAUAUGAAUGCUGGAAAAGUGCAGUUUGAGGAUAUAUCCUAACAGGAAGAGAAAAGAGGGAGCCUGAUCAGUCAGGUUUCUCUCUUCUGCUGUUGCACAGUGAUGUCCUGUUUCUGUCAUUAGUUGACUGGUCGGAAACUGAGCUUGGUGGGUAAGGGGCUGGUAAGAAGACUAUAUACUCCCCUAUCUGAGAGGCGUGCCUAAUAAUGCAAACUGAUCAAGUUUAUAGUUGGUUUAUAUAACGUUUAUUACAUGCUUUUUAAAGUUUUUCAUGCUUUAUUUUGGCUUGUGUAUUUGUGUAAAAGUGUUUGCUGGUUUCAAAAAAUAAUUGUCAAAUGAUGCAUGUCCCUUUAAACAUUCCAAGGUCUUGGCACCAGCGAGGGAAAAAGUAACAGACCCAGUAAUCGUAAAGCAGAAGGUAAGUCAAGUAAUCCAAGCCGUAAGAUAAAACCAUUAAAGCUCAUAGAAACCAGUUCAUCAAAUUCUAAAGAGUGAAGGAGAUGGGGAAUCCUGUCUAACAGUCUGACAGUAGCAUCUCUGGGGGGUCAGUCUGUGUCUGUGUGUGUGUGGGGGUAAGAGGGGAUCAGUCAGUCUUUGUAUGUGAGUGGGGGAGCAGUCUGUGUGUGUGUGUGUGUGUGUGUAUGGGUUGUCUGUGUGUGUGUGUGGGGGGAGGGGGAGGUGUGUGUGUAUGGGUCAGUUUGGGUUUGUAUGGGUCAGUCUCUGUAAGUGCUUGAGCUCCAAGAGAGAUACUUCUUAUCUCAUAACUUCCCCUGUACCUGAUGGAUUGGCAGCCUUCUCAACCACCACAGAUCUUAUUGUGCCACCCCUUCCCUGCAAGGUAAGAUCAGGGAAAGGGGAAUAUACUUUAUUUUUAUUUUUUUUAAACAAUUAUUAAAGUAAAAAUUGUAAGCCUCUUCCCUAUCACACUAUCUACAUCCCACUGAACACCGUACACCCUCACAGACCGUGAACCCCCCACAUACAGUACACUCCCACGAACACAGCGUACACCUUUGCAUACACACAGAGCACUCACACACAUCAUCUCUACACCCACGCACAAACUUUACAGGCCCUUUCAGCACACACACACACACACACAUAUUUUCUCACACACUCACAAAUUGCUAUUUUUAUUUUAAUUUAAAUCCACGCAGCCUUUGGGAGAGCUGAGUGGAUCUUUUCCUGACAUCCAGUGUAUCUCCUUUCAAUCUUCCUGCAGUUUCUCUCUGCUCCCCUGCUUGCUCUCUGUAGUGAUGCUGGGGCUGGAGUGAUGUAAUGUCACUAAACAACGCGCAAGGGAGCAGAGAGGAACUACAGGAAGGUUACUGCUCCCUCACGUGCCACCUCCACGCUCUCCGCGGCGUCCGACUUUAAUGUUUUCUGCGCGGCUUAGCAAAAGGGCUGACAAAUGCCAGGCACUAGGGAAAUGUCUAGUCGCCAUGGCGACCUGGUGUCUGGAAUUUAUCUAGCCCUGUGUGUGUGUGUAUAUAUAUAUAUAUAUAUAUAUAUAUAUAUAUUGAAAUAUAGGCUAGCACUCACGGUCUUUUAGUUAAAAGAUCAUCUUUAUUCAGUUAUUCCAUAAAAACUCGACGUUUCAGCCCACGUCCUGGGCUUUCUUCAGGAGCAACAAACAACUUUGUUGCUCCUGAAGAAAGCCCAGGACGUGGGCUGAAACGUCGAGUUUUUAUGGAAUAACUGAAUAAAGAUGAUCUUUUAACUACAAGACCGUGAGUGCUAGCCUAUAUUUCCAUAUUUUUGUAUAUUUUGGCUGUGGCUUUUAGCACCCGGCAUUUAAUAUUAAGCUUAAUAUAGCAGGGUUAAUCUGAGUGCAAGGACUGGUCUAUUUUUAUAUAUAUAUAUAUAUAUAUAUAUAUAUACACACAUACACACAUUUAUAAAAUGUGUGUGUGUGUGUGUGUAUAUAUAUAUAUAUAUAUAAGAUAUAGAUAUAAAAAGACUAAAAAGAUAUAGGUAGCCAGCACUUUAGGUCUUGUGAAAAAAGAUUUUCUUUAUUGAAUUGAAGAUCCCACAUAAGGUCAACGUUUCAGUUCACAUUCACACUUUCAUCAGGACAUAUAUAAAUGUAUAUACACAAACACACAUACACACACAUAAACACACUUUUUAUAACUGCCCCCCUACUUUUGUCCCUGGCCCCUUAUGACCCCCCCAAGUAUGAAUCCUGGAGACGCCACUGCAGUCUGAGUAAGUAGCGAGUGGCAAUUAAGUUAUAUCUAGGAUACCUGUGAUGUAACCAGAGUUAGUGCACAGAAAUCACACCGGAAACAUUUCCUCAGCAUGAAGCACGACUAAUGUACUAAUAGAGUGGAUUUAAAUAGCCUGCAUACUUGGUAGUGCUCCAGCGUCCUGAUUUAAAGCAAAAAAUACGUAUUGACUAACAAAAAUUUCUUGCCAGCAGACUCUCAGAGUACAAAGACUUAUGUAAUGUUAGAUAUUUGAACCCUACAUAUUGACAAUACUGGAAUAACGGAACACUUCAUUUUAUGAUCCUUUUUUAUUUUGGAGAUGUCCUUUCUUUCUUGAUUACUGUCUCGAAAACAUCUCAGCAAAUGUCCAAGGUAAUCCAGGAGUCCCAUAUGUUUUUACUUAUUGUUUAGACACAACUUAAUACCAUAGCACCUGACUCCCACAUACAAGAAUUAUUUCAUUGUGAUAUAUAUGUUGGUGAUCAAGAGUAGCCUUCAUUUUAGACGUGACUGAUAUUUUCACUAAUAAGCUGUGGUUCGGUCUCGAUGCAAUAUUUACCAGUAUAUUAUGGAUUUUAUCUAAUCUGAACUCCUAAUAAUUUGUAGUGGUUUAGGAGUAAGUUUUGUAGUAUUUUGUAUACUACCUGUAUGUAGAUUACCUAAAUGUUACAACUUUGAUAAAGCACCUAUAUUAUUUCUUCUCUUCCUGAAACUAGAACGGAAGAUUGUUUUUCAGCUCAGUAUCCGCAAACAGAAAACCAGCCCAGAGCUCCUCAUUUGGUGAACAUUAGUCCCUUUAUUGGUUUCUCAAAUCACAUCAAAACGUUUAGAAACUUUGCUGACAAAGACCAGUAACAGUCAAAACUGUGCUGCUGUGAUUUGCGGCACUUUUAAAUGGAGGAAUGCUGUACAUUGUUUUCUUCUUCUUGUAUGACGUAGAAUACCUUAAGCACCACCUUCAAUUUGAGGCCCCCUUGUGUUGGAUAUUUACAGUUGCAAGAAAAAGUAUGUGAACCCUUUGGAAUGAUAUGGAUUUCUGCACAAAUUGGUCAUAAAAUGUGAUCUGAUCAUCAUCUAAGUCACAACAAUAGACAAUCACAGUCUGCUUAAACUAAUAACACACAAAGAAUGAAAUGUUGCCAUGUUUUUAUUGAACACACCAUGUAAACAUUCACAGUGCAGGUGGAAAAAGUAUGUGAACCCCUAGACUAAUGACAUCUCCAAGAGCUAAUUGGAGUGAGAUGUCAGCCAACUGGAGUCCAAUCAAUGAGAUGAGAUUGGAGGUGUUGGUUACAGCUGCCCUGCCCUAUAAAAAACACACACCAGUUCUGGGUUUGCUUUUCACAAGAAGCAUUGCCUGAUAUGAAUGAUGCCUCGCACAAAAGAGCUCUCAGAAGACCUACGAUUAAGAAUUGUUGACUUGCAUAAAGCUGGAAAGGGUUAUAAAAGUAUCUCCAAAAGCCUUGCUGUUCAUCAGUCCACGGUAAGACAAAUUGUCUAUAAAUGGAGAAAGUUCAGCACUGCUGCUACUCUCCAUAGGAGUGGCCGUCCUGUAAAGAUGACUGCAAGAGCACAGCGCAGGCUGCUCAAUGAGGAGAAGAAGAAUCCUAGAGUGUCAGCUAAAGACUUACAAAAGUCACUGGCAAAUGCUAACAUCCCUGUUAGCGAAUCUACAAUAUGUAAAACACAAAACAAGAAUGGAUUUCAUGGGAGGAUACCACAGAGGAAGCCACUGCUGUCCAAACAAAUCAUUGCUGCAUGUUUACAGUUUGCACAAGAGCACCUGGAUGUUCCACAGCAGUACUGGCAAAAUAUUCUGUGGACAGAUGAAACCAAAGUUGAGUUGUUUGGAAGAAACACACAACACUAUGUGUGGCGAAAAAAAGGCACAGCACACCAACAUCAAAACCUCAUCCCAACUGUGAAGUAUGGUGGUGGGGGCAUCAUGGUUUGGGGCUGCUUUGCUGCGUCAGGGCCUGGACGGAUUGCUAUCAUCGAAGGAAAAAUGAAUUCCCAAGUUUAUCAAGACAUUUUGCAGGAGAACUUAAGGCCAUCUGUCUACCAGCUGAAGCUCAACAGAAGAUGGGUGUUGCAACAGGACAAUGACCCAAAGCAUAGAAGUAAAUCAACAACAGAAUGGCUUAAACAGAAGAAAAUACGCCUUCUGAAGUGGCCCAGUCAGAGUCCUGACCUCAACCCGAUUGAGAUGCUGUGGCAUGACCUCAAGAAAGCGAUUCACACCAGACAUCCCAAGAAUAUUACUGAACUGAAACAGUUCUGUAAAGAGGAAUGGUCAAGAAUUACUCCUGACCGUUGUGCACAUCUGAUCUGCAACUACAGGAAACAUUUGGUUGAAGUUAUUGCUGCCAAAGGAGGUUCAACCAGUUAUUAAAUCCAAGGGUUCACAUACUUUUUCCACCUGCACUGUGAAUGUUUACAUGGUGUGUUCAAUAAAAACAUGGCAACAUUUCAUUCUUUGUGUGUUAUUAGUUUAAGCAGACUGUGAUUGUCUAUUGUUGUGACUUAGAUGAUGAUCAGAUCACAUUUUAUGACCAAUUUGUGCAGAAAUCCAUAUCAUUCCAAAGGGUUCACAUACUUUUUCUUGCAACUGUAUAUUGACAAUAAUUUCUACUUAAGAUUCUAUUCUAUAGUAUACUUGUGUUUUUCUUUUCUUGUUAUAUCUUUUCUGCUUUUUCCCUACCUUAGUUGAUUAUUGUUGCUAUGGAAACCAUUAUGUGAAACCAUGAUGUAUGUCUGUAACAAAGCUCCAAAUAGAGAUUUUUCCUCUAUAGGAGUAAAAUAGUGUCUGUGUUUAGUUUUUUUCCCUAAUGUAUGUUUUCCUGUUGCUGUAAGAUGUAUGUAUUUCAACACCUCUAUCUCAUGACUAUGAAAAGAUCUGAAAGAUAAAAAACUAAAUUAAAGUGACAUGUACCUAAUUAUACUGUGCCCUUAUCUAGCACCAUAUGAGAACAAACUCCCAUCUGUAUUGUAAUGCAGCUUGCCAGUGUAUAUACACACAUCUGCCACCUCUUGCACCAUGUUACAACGCACAUCUACCUACUGCCUCAUCUAUCUCCGCUAGAUUAAAUGUUGUGGUUUGGAUUAUGCAUAGCUUUUGCAUAAUGGGCAAUGAAUCUGGGUGUAUAAUUCAUAUACACAAGAUAAAGUAAAUUUGAGUCAGAGUUCUAGAGCUGGAUCAGAUAUUAUCUAGCAGGAGUAGGCAACUUUUGGCUCUCCGAGUGUUCUGGACUACAUCUCCCUUGAUGCUUUGCCAGCAUUAUGGCUCUAAGAACAUUAUGGGAGAUGAAGUCCGUAAUAUCUGGAGUGCUGAAGAAUGCCUAUCUCUGCCAUAUGUAAUCCUGCUCAUUGUUCCCAUAUAGCGUUUUGCUAAACAGAGUGUUUGCAAUAGAAACUUUAGGCAUAGGCUCCAGUGUGUUCUAUGAGUUGUAGGGCAUAUGUCUUCACUCUUUCAAUCAUUGUGUUCUAUGUUCCUUAUAGAGAGUAUGGAAUUAUCAGCAUGUGACUAUUAUGGUACAUAGCACUUAACAUUUCAAACCCCAAUACAUUAUUCAUACCCACCAACUGUGCCAGUUCACCAGAGGUGUUAUUCCAACUGGGAUAUUGGGGAAAACAAGAAAAAGUAUACAAAAUGUACACCUGUAUAGGAGUGUGAAUGUUUUCCCAUGCCAAUAUAACAUAGCCCAAUCAAAAGCCAACUUCUCUGUAUUCCAGAUUAUACAUUUACACUACUGGAAGUUAUGCACUAGACAUUUUUUUAAUAUACUGAGUUCCCAGCCAUACUUUAUAUAAAAUAUUUCAGUGGAUUCUGAACCCAUAACACAUCUUGUGCUUGCUUUUCUAAUGAGGCUUUAUUCAGCCAUGCAUGAUGACCCUUUGGCCGCUGCUCGAUUUAUACAAGUUUGUAAUCAGUGGUAAGGAUAAUGAAUGCUUUAAUUAAGGUAAUCUGACAAGUAGGAUUUGACAGCCAUAGUGGAAAGAAAGGCAAGAUUUGGAGUCUCAAAGUAAUUAUCUGCAGUGGAUUUUCAGUAUAUUAUUUUUUUUUUAUAAGAAUCCUAGUUUGGUCAUAUGGUUAUUCAUGGGCAGCUGCAAAGAUAGAGAACACUUUGGAAAGGUUUAAGAACAUAAGUAAUCAUACAUUGGAUGAAGUAUUGUUACCAAAUACCUCACUCACUUUUUCUAUUUUAUGUGUUUCCUUUUAGUUUUAUUGACACUGAUAAAGUUGUGCCUUCAACGAUUACAUCACAAUGCUGGGAUACUAAUGGACCUCUACAGUGCAUUCAGAAAGAAUUUAG
rnacentral:lncRNA from 1 species